GUCGCCUGUCCGGAACUGUUGCUGCCGGCGCCGGCGACGUCCCCGACCUAUUGCUGCCUUCCACAACUCCUUCAUGCUGCUGCCGAUGACCUCCCCGAUCUGCAGCUGCCCUUUGAGGUUGUUCUAUCAAGGUUGCAAGAGCAGGGAGCACACUCUGAGGCGAGAUACUGAGGGGCAAUAGACUGCAUUAGAAAGACCUUGAUGCUUUGGAAGCCAAUAUGGAGUUCAAAUUGAAUUCAGUCCCAUCCUACCUUCAACAAGACAAGGAGCGGUCACCUUGGAGCCCUAAACCGGCAGCAGGCUUCUUUGAUCUGGAGAAUGGAAACAGGAGGUCAAGAUUGACCUUAAGCACCUCCACAUCAACACUACAAUGUGAUGCAGCUGAUGGAGGGAGGACGCCAAGCGGCGCGGCAUGGUCUUGGUCACCAUAAAGCAGCAGACGACAAGUGGUGAGGAGGGGCAGGCGGUGGCAUUGAGCGAGGAGAUAACCUGUGGCCUACACAGAAGUUGCUCGUGUUGUUUUGACAGAGAAGCUUGGUGUGGAGGUUGACGUUUUU